AUGAGAGCCAACCAUAAUUUUGGUAACCUCCAUGGUGCAAAUCUCCAAUGGUUAAACUCUGUAAACAUUGUGCUUUUACCCUAGAAAGAGGGUGUGGAAGAGAUCAUCGACUAUGUGCCUAUUAGCCUCAUUUAUGCCCUUGCAAAAAUCAUUGCUAAGAUACUAGCCAUCCGGCUUAGUAUGCACAUGAACUCUCUUGUUUCUAAUGCCUGA
rnacentral:rRNA from 1 species